GCCUUCGUGGUGUAAUGGCCAGCACAGUCGGCUCGUAUUCGAGAUGUCCGAGGUUCCAGUCCCGGCGAGGGCA
rnacentral:tRNA from 1 species